GGGCUGGGUGUGGAAAACCCAAGGUCAAAAUUGUGGUCAGCAGCGUCGUUUCUUGGGAGGCUUUGGGCAAAUCACUAGAUUGGGAAAGACAUAAUAACUUAGUUCUUUCAUAAUGCCAGACCACUCUUCCUUAACUUGGUGCCCACCAAAUGUUUUGGACUACAACUCCUAUCAGGCCUACCCAGCAUCUGUGCGGGGGGGUUAGUUCAAAACAUCUGGAGGGCACUAGGUUGGAGAAGGCUGUCCUAAACUAUAGUUGCAAAGAGAGAGAAAAAAUCGGCUUUGGUUUUCAGUUCAUUUGGAGGCAGAUGAUUGGUUGCAUACUGCUUGCCCAGUUCAGUUGCAAAAACUUACUGGUUUCAUAGAAUACUAGAGUUGGAAGGGACCCUGAGGAUCAUUGAGCCCAACCAUCUGCAGUGCAGGAAUAUGCAGCUGUCCCUUAUUGGGGAUCGAACCUGCAACCUUGGCGUUAUCAGCACCACACUGUGACCAACUGAGCUAUCCAAGCUGGUUUGUACCAAAUAGGAAGGGUUUUGAGUUUGCAAGGGGAGGAAGAGGUAAGCAAGCCCACAACGCAUCCCAGUUCCCCAAACGGUGGCAUCAUUUAGGUGCCAUAAUAGGGGUGCUUGCCUUGGGAACCACCUGGAAAAUGCUAUAAUACUGGUAUCAGAGGUCUCAUUGCAUUUCAAGGAAGUUUCAGGGGAAAGCCCAGACAUCAGCUUGCUCAGAGCUGUAAAGAGAGCAAGCAGGCUAGGCAGAUACUGCUGUAACUUCUUGUUGUCUUUGUGCCUGCACGCCCUACACUGUAAAAUACAUCCAGCCACUGAAUACUGCUGGUAGGAAAGGAGAAAAUUAGAAAUGUAUGAAUCUGGCCAGCAGCUGCCCCUGAAACCAGCCAGCACAUUUUUGGACCACAGCUUUCUAUCUGAGAAACGAAAGCCUGUGGUUACAACCUUCCUUAACUUGUUCUGGGCUCCAGCUAUUUCAUACCUUAUCCAAACCAUAGAAUUAGGGCCAAUGAGUACAUAGCAACAGUAUAAAUACAUAGUAGAAACCUCCUUGAAGCUCUGGUGCCAGUUGCUCAUUCCAUGAUUUCAUGUGAGCAGGCUCCUUCAGUUCUUCCUGCAAUUGUGUUUGCUUUUUAGGAAUGUCAAAGGAAAAUAAACAGGUAUCGGCUGGUCAGAUUAUCCCCCAAAAUCAUAAGCCUGAAAAGCUUGAGAGGAGUGUUAAAAUAACAUCAUGCUGAAGAUAUGGCUGCUGCUCCCUGUUCCUUUUGCAGCAGCAUUUUAAAAGAAAUGAUUAGCAGUGUCUUGUGGAUUGCAUCAGAAAAGUUGUUUAUCUACAAUGAAAACAAAACUAAAUCCCAAAGUCUCUCAAUUUCACCGUGUUGAAAGGUAUAAUGCUAGACUAAUGAGUGAUUAAUGAGUUGCAUACAUCUAAUAAGAGUAUCAAGAGGGAAGUCUUAUGGAGAAAGUUUUUCUUGCUUCAGACUGCAAUCCUGUAGACACUUACCUACACAGUGGGACUUUUUGUCUGAACAAAAAUGAGUAAGGUUGCACUGUAAGUGUACAUAGUCUCUCACACAGCCACAUUAGGUGAGUAAUUUGAUUUAACUUGAUAUUAGAACCAUAAAGGUCUCCCAUAAGUAGGAACUGAAGAAACAUUUGUUAGGUACAUUACACUGAAGUACCUCACUUUCUGAUCUGUGAGAUUUCUCCUUCCACUGUCUGGGAGUCUUGUGAAAUCUGCUUUAGUCGUGCCUUGCAAAAAUAGCUGACAGGGAAGCACAAGCAUUUCUGUAUUUGCUUGAAAUGAGACAUGUUGUUGUCAACUUUAUGAAAGCAUAUUGUGGGGGUUUGAGAAGAAAACAACUUUUCUUUUGAAGACUUGCCAGCUUUUCCUGCUGUCAUAAUGAACUGAUAAAAUUAGUUUGGUUGGAUGACAUUUUUCUUAAUUUUGAACUUUAGUGUACGUUCAGUACAUUUCCUAUAAUGGACUUUCCUCUGGCAGUACGUUCUCAGAUAAGAGAUUCAGAGCCAUAGUUUUGUUCUCCUACUGAAUGUAGGUCAUAUCUUGCCCUGACCUUUCCCACAUAAGUGCUCCACAAAACUCUGCCUGCUUGCCGUAAAGAAGUGUACCUCCUCUAAUGCUGUGCCUUUUGAAAUGUUAAUAUGACAUUUCAGGGCUUCAGAGUUUUGAGCAGUUUAAAGCAGCAAAGGUAUUUCAAAUGGCCAAAUUAAAUUGCUGAACAUUAUGGAAAACGAAAAGUUUUGCUUUUUAAAACUAAAUAACCCUGCUAGAAAAAGUAAGGGAAACAGAAAUUUCAUCCCAUCCCAGAACCAUUUGAAAGAUGGCUUUGACGUACAGUAUUAUUGGGGUUUAUAACUGCAUUUAAAAGAAUGGGAGGCGAUAUUAAUAAUAUCCAUAGUUGAUUGAAUCUGUUGCUGUUUUUUGUGAUAAGCAAUAAAAGUGGUUAUAACGAUGAUGUUGAACAUAGUUUUUUAAAGCUAUGUUUCUAAUUUAAUGUGCUUUGUCCAAAAUUCUGCAGCUUGCUACUUAGUUUUUGUGUAAGCAUCAAAUAGGCCAAACUAAUCUUUAAUAAAGCACCUGCGUUUUCACUACAGCCAAGCCUGUUUUGAAAAUCCAUAUGCAAAUUAGGGUUCAAUGUUUGAUGUGUGCCUGUGAAACUAAAUGAAAAUUACCGUAGUUGAUUGAUUGGUUGGUUGGUGGGUUUUUAGUAAGGAAAGAGGAAAGGAGACAUAUGCUUUCAGAAUUUUGUCAUUUUAGUGAUGCUAAAUUCUUACAUACAAAAGGGAGAGAGACAUAAUCUGCAGCUUCCAUUUUAUUCAUAUGGACUCUAAAGUACUUGCCCUGCCACGCCACAUUUUCUUUUAUGGAUUGCUUUUUAGUCUGUUGAUGUUACAACAAGGAAGAUAAAGCCAUCUUGCAGCUUGUGACACCUGCUUUCAUACAUCCUAAUAAUUACUUCAGUUCAAGUCUGACAGCCAGAGCUUGCCAGAGUGCAUACAAAUCUUGACUUGCUUCAGGGUAAUAAAUUAUGUCAUAAUAGCUUUGCCGGAAAGUUCAGAUGUGUGUGGUAUGGUAAAAGAUUAAUAUUUCAAGGGGAAAUGGCUUGGAGUUGUGCUGCAUUGAAAUUAAAUAUGCUGCACACAGAUUAAUGUGGCAAUUUAUUUUUAGCCUUGCAUUUCCAGAGUAAGAUGCAGGGAACAUCAAACCAAGGUUUGCAGCCAGAAAUUCUGAGGAGGGUUUUUGCGGGGAGGGGAGAUGAUGCCAUAAAAACAAUUGGCAGAGGCUCUGAUUACAAAUUGAGAGGCAGGCAUCUAAAACAGGUUCUCCCUGGCAUUUUCAGCUGAGUUCUUGUGCAUGUCUUUUGAAUAGACUAGUGGCAGAAUAGUGGCAUGUUCCAGAGUGCAUUGCAGGCUAGAUAUGUGAAAAAAAUCUCAUACACAUGCACAAAAAUGUCUCAUCCGAGUCAUACUUUAGGUUCUUAGGGAUGUGCUGCCUAAACUACUGUUGGUGUUGUGCAAAAUCGGAAGUGCUCUUUUAUAGAAGAAAGGCAAGGACACAGCUUGUGCUCUGUUCGUGCUUUGUCCCCUUGUAGAGGCACUAUAACAUCUUCCAGUGAUCCAGGGCAUUGGUGCUCAAAGUAUUUAAAAUGAAUUUGAAACCUACAUUGGCAGAAGAAAGACUCAGGCUGGAUUUCUACAGUACUUCCAUGAGCUGGAACGAGCCCAAGUGAGAUUCAUGCCUGGUCCUGAAAAUAAAUCAUAUGUCAAAGACCAGGGUAAAGAAGUGCAUCUUCAGCUUAUGAUGGAAUAUAUGUGACAGAAAUGGUGUGACUCCAUCAUCUUUCUAGUCAUUGGGUGUUAUGGACCCUGGAUGAGCAAGUGACAGUGUUUGUUCUUUAGAGCCAGCAUGGUUUAGUGAUUAGAGUGACUGACUUUGGAGACCUGGUUUUAACUCCCCAUUCAGCCAUGACACAUACUGUACAACCUUAGGCCACUGACCCAUCUCUCAGCCUAACCCAUUUCACUUGAUUCUUAUGAGGAUAAAAUGAGAAGGACUUGGGAGGGAAGGGCAGGCUAAACAUAAAUACCCACUCUUCCACCCCAGGGCAGAGCAGUAUGGCGACAUUCGAAUUGGGAGAAAUUGUACUUGUAAACAGUUGCAAUAUGCGUUAGCUAAGCAGAGAAAGUUUCCCAAGUGAUAAUUAAAGCUCUUUAAUAAUGUGAUUUCGUUUUUUUAAUGGAAUCCAUGGUUGAAAACAAAAGCGGAGGUGGAGUCAACUUUAUCCAUCAAAAGCUGUAAUAUCAACAUUCUCAUGGGAACCCAAAAAUUAAGAGAGAUAAGUCUCCAGGGAAUAAGCAAACGCACAUGGAAUGAGCAAGAAAUCUGCCAAAACAAUUACACUUGUGUUGAAAAGCAAUUAUCUUGCCCAGCAAAUGCAUGAGAAACUAUUAAUGUUAGUGGCUAAACAUGUUCGCAUAACACACAGCUCUGGUCUACUUCAGAUUGUAAAUGUACAUGUAAUGACUCUUCACAGCAGCACGAUUAUUUCAUAAAUGCCUCAGCUAGGAUUAAAGCAAACAAUGAUGGGGUGUUUAAAACCAGUUUUAGACUAACCUGUACUAUUAAAGAUUGUAAUCUUAAUUGGCAGGUUCUACUAAAAUCAAUGGGCUGUGCUUUCAAGUAAAACACAAUUGAAGACCAGCACUCCACUGCUAUUUAUGAACUUGAAAGCAGAGUGCUAUAGGCGUCAGAUGAGGCAAAGCCAAGUGCUGUCUCUUAACUUACGCUGCAGACAAAAAUAGUGGAUAUUUCAUAAAACCAUCUCUGUUGAUAGCUUCUCUCAAAUAGAAAUAACGAAGCACUCUCCUUACCUACCCUACCUCAGCAAAAAAAAGUGCCUUAAAGCAGAACCCUUUAAAAGAACUUAGAUAGUUGCCAAGUGCUGUAUCUAAAAUCAGUUAGGAAACUGUUCCUGUAAAUAUUCCUUAACCCUGCAUAGCUGAUCUAUAAAGAGAAGUGGUGCUGGUUACUCCUGCAGUUAAGGAAGCUAAUGUGGAAGUUGCAAGUUCCCAGAAUAGCAUUCUAUUAUCAGGGAAAAAAUGUCAAGACAUCUUUAGAACUGACUCAGUGGGCCCCUGUACAGGCUUUCCCCCUCUUCUCUGCACUGAAUUGGCCUGCCAUUAACUUUCUAUGCAAACUAUGCAAGUGGCUUGUGAGCAGGAAAGGGACAUU